GACGAACGCUGGCGGCGUGCCUAAUACAUGCAAGUAGAACGCACAGUUUAUACCGUAGCUUGCUACACCAUAGACUGUGAGUUGCGAACGGGUGAGUAACGCGUAGGUAACCUGCCUAUUAGAGGGGGAUAACUAUUGGAAACGAUGGCUAAUACCGCAUAACAGUAUGUAACACAUGUUAGAUGCUUGAAAGAUGCAAUUGCAUCGCUAGUAGAUGGACCUGCGUUGUAUUAGCUAGUAGGUAGGGUAAAGGCCUACCUAGGCAACGAUACAUAGCCGACCUGAGAGGGUGAUCGGCCACACUGGGACUGAGACACGGCCCAGACUCCUACGGGAGGCAGCAGUAGGGAAUCUUCGGCAAUGGGGGGAACCCUGACCGAGCAACGCCGCGUGAGU
rnacentral:rRNA from 1 species